CCUACGGGUGGCAGCAGUGGGGAAUAUUGCACAAUGGGGGAAACCCUGAUGCAGCGAUGCCGCGUGGAGGAAGAAGGUUUUCGGAUUGGAAACUCCGUUUAUCAGGGACGAUAAGGACGGUACGUGAAGAAAAAGCUCCGGAUAACUACGUGACAGCAGGCGCGGUUAUACGUAGGGAGCGGGUGUUGUCCGGAAUUACUGGGGUUAAAGGGUGCGUAGGCGGGACGGCAAGUCAGAUGUGAAAACGGAGGGCCCAACUUUCAGACUGCAUUUGAAACUGCUGUUCUUGAGUGGGGUAGAGGUACGCGGAAUGCCUGGUGUAGCGGUGAAAUGCGUAGAUAUUAGGCGGAACAUCGGUGGCGAAGGCAGCUUACUGG
rnacentral:rRNA from 1 species